UACGUAGGGUGCAAGCGUUAAUCGGAAUUACUGGGCGUAAAGCGUGCGCAGGCGGUUUUGUAAGUAUGAUGUGAAAUCCCCGGGCUCAACCUGGGAAUUGCAUUGGAGACUGCAAGGCUAGGAUCUGGCAGAGGGGGGUAGAAUUCCACGUGUAGCAGUGAAAUGCGUAGAGAUGUGGAGGAACACCGAUGGCGAAGGCAGCCCCCUGGGUCAAGAUUGACGCUCAUGCACGAAAGCGUGGGGAGCAAACAGG
rnacentral:rRNA from 1 species